rnacentral:rRNA from 1 species
CACAUGACUCUCGGCAACGGAUAUCUUGGCUCUCGCAUCGAUGAAGAACGUAGCAAAAUGCGAUACCUGGUGUGAAUUGCAGAAUCCCGUGAACCAUCGAGUUUUUGAACGCAAGUUGCGCCCGAGGCCUUCUGGUUGAGGGCACGUCUGCCUGGGCGUCACGC